AACUCCGCCUUAUAGGCCAAGACG
rnacentral:siRNA from 1 species